GAGGGUAUAGCUUGGUGGUAGAGUGUGUGCUUAGCAUGCACGACGUCCUGCGUUCAAUCCCCAGCACCUCCA
rnacentral:tRNA from 1 species